rnacentral:rRNA from 1 species
AUUGAACGCUGGCGGCAGGCCUAACACAUGCAAGUCGAACGAGUGGCGGACGGGUGAGUAAUGUCUGGGAAACUGCACGAUGGAGGGGGAUAACUACUGGAAACGGUAGCUAAUACCGCAUACCAUCGGAUGUGCCCAGAUGGGAUUAGCUUGUAGGUGAGGUAACGGCUCACCUAGGCGACGAUCCCUAGCUGGUCUGAGAGGAUGAACAGCGACACUGGAACUGAGACACGGGCAAGAAUCCGACGGGGGGCAGCAGUGGGGAAUAUUGCACAUGGGGCGGAAGCCUGAUGCAGCCAUGCCGCGUGUAUGAAGAAGGCAUUCGGGUUGUAAAGUACUUUCAGCGGGGAGGCGUUACCCGCAGAAGAAGAACCGGCUAACUCCGUGCCAGCAGCCGCGGGAAUAC